AGUGAAUAGUUUAAAAAAACAUUAAUUUUGGAGAUUAAAGAUGGGAUUUAAUUCUCUUUACUGA
rnacentral:tRNA from 1 species